rnacentral:rRNA from 1 species
UAAUUUCGAGACGUGUUUUCCGCGUGGCGCCAUGGACAAGUUCCCUGGAAUGGGACAUCGUAGAGGGUGAAAAUCCCGUACUUGCCAUGGACGUACCAUGCUUUGCGAUACACGCUCCAAGAGUCGAGUAGUUUGGGAUUGCUGCUCAAAAUGGGUGGUAGACUCCAUCUAAAGCUAAAUAUCGGGGAGAGACCGAUAGCGAACAAGUACCGUGAGGGAAAGAUGAAAAGCACUUUGGAAAGAGAGUUAAAAGUACGUGAAAUUGUCGAAAUGGAAGCGCUUGAAGUCAGCCAUGCGGCUGGGGACUCACCUUGGCGUCUCGCUGAGGGUAUUUCUCCAGUAGCAAGUCAGCAUUGGUUUGCGGCGCCGGAGAAGGGUCCAGGGAAGGUGGCACCCUCGGGUGUGUUAUAGCCCUGGACUGGAUACGGCGCGGCGGACCAAGGAACGCAGUGUGCCCUCGUGGCGGGUCUUUGGACACCUUCACACUUAGGAUGCUGGCGUAAUGGCU